GUAGAACACUCGUAAGACGUCAAAAACGUCACAGGGUAUAAAUAUCAAGCCCCUCCCCUUUCCAGCACAUUCCUGGAUUUGUUCUGCGGUAUUUUGUCUCUGAAGAGUGGCCGUCGAGGACUUUGAACAUUAAAUAAAAAACACUUUUCAACAAAUUGACGUUUUACUACUAGUUUUGCCUCGUUUGUUCCAGAAGGAAUAGCUAGCUUUUAGCUGCCACAACCUCGCCCAAACAUUGGCAGUAGAAUGGCCUGUACUGAAGAGCUCAGUGACUUUCAACGUGGCACCGUCAUAGGAUGCCACCUUUCCAACAAGUCAGUAAGUCAAAUUUCUGCUCAGCUAGAGCUGCCCAGGUCAACUGUAAGUGCUGUUAUUGUGGAGUGGAAACGUCUAGGAGCAACAACGGCAGAGCCGCGAAGUGGUAAGCCACACAAGCUCACAGAACGGGACCGGCAAGUGCUGUAGCGGCAAAAAAUUCUGUCCUCGUUGCAACACACACUACCGAGUUCCAACCUGCUUCUGACAGCAACGUCCGCACAAUAACUGUUUGUCUGGAGCUUCAUGAAAUGGGUUUCCAUGGCCAAACAGCCACACACAAGCCUAAGAUCACCAUGCGCAAUGCCAAGCGUAGGCUGGAGUGGUGUAAAGCCAGAUAGGUGGGGACUUCCAGGACUACUAACAGGAGGACCUGGAAUCACUGGGGGAGACCCUGGUCCACAAGGUCAUGGAGUGACCUACCUACUGCAGAACCAGGGCUCUGUUGGCACUCUAUUCCCUAUAGUGUGCAAUUUUUCACCAGAGCACUAUUGGCCCUGGUCAAAUGUACGGCACUAUGUAGGGAAGAGGGUGCCAUUUCGAACGGACCCCAGGAGGAGAUGUAAUGCUAUAUAACCUACUGCUGAAGCUGGCCAUGUCAUCAGCUCAGUGCUGGGGUGCAUCUCGAUAGUCUAAGGUGGCUUCCUUGUCUCCGCUCCUGAUCGUUCAGCACUUAUUUGAAUAAAGCUCAUGGCUGAAGUCUGUCUCCCAAAUCAGUUUGAUUGAAGAAAGGUGUGGAGAGGAAGCCACGCUAACUAUUGAGACACACCCCUGUUGUAUGACAUUAUCCUGUCAGCCUAUGAGAUGCAUACAUUUUUUUUAAAGUCCAAUUUGCCACCUUGCCCCCCUACACACCUGUAGAUCUGAAAAGAUAGGGCAAAGGUGGUGAUUUGGAAUUCAGAAUUUGACUGGACAAGUGGGCAUGUCUCACCCAUGGGACAGAAAGAAAGGGCAAUAUGAUGAAGUGUUUAUAAUGGCAAUACAUUACCACCGGAUUCGUACAUGUAUAAACCAAGCUCUUAUUAACUUGAAAUAAACAUGUUGAUACCUGUAUGAUCAAGUAUUUACUACAGAUAAGGCAAUUCAAUAAAUGGAUUUUGCAUCUUA